UUCCUAGUGGCUCAGAUGGUAAAGAAUCUGCCUGCAAUGCAGGAGACCCAGGUUUGAUCCCUGGGUCGGGAA
rnacentral:tRNA from 1 species